rnacentral:lncRNA from 1 species
GAUGUUGCCAUAUGGAUAGCUAGUACCUUUGGGAAUGAACAGACUUGUGUUUUUCAAGCUGGAAUUGGGUUGACUGAGAUAUCGUGUAUUAAAAUAUCAGCUCCUGUCAAGAGAAUAUCUUUCAUAAGCAACGAAAUUGAAUGUCUACCUGAUUGCUUUACGAAAUGUCCAAAGACAACACGGUUGACUGAGAUAUCGUCUAUUAAAAUAUCAGCUUCUGUCAAGAGAAUAUCCUUCGUAAGCAACAAAAUUGAAUGUCUACCUGAUUGCUUUACGAAAUGUCCAAAGACAACAUCUUUACAUUUGCAAGACAAUAAACCCCUCUACAGAAUACCCCCGGAAUUCUUUUUGGCAUUUCCAGAUCUAAGAGUUCUGAAUCUGAGGGGUAACACUAGUAUUAGAGCACUGCCUUCUUCCAUCAACAGUUUAUGUCAACUACGUGCUCUAAUACUAAAAAAUUGCUCUAAC